rnacentral:miRNA from 1 species
GUCCCAGAGGGUUGUGGGACUGGGCUGUGCUUCCUAACCCACUCCUCUCCCGCCAG